UAAAAAAUGAGUGCUCAAAUAAAAAGUGAGUGAUCAAGUAAGAAAUAAGAGAGAGCAACCAAGAGAGUUGUUAGGUUAUGAGUCUGCUCUGAUAAGGCUCUUUUUAUUUGAGCAUCCUUGCUCAAAGCUUAUAAUGAAGUGAAUCCUCUCUUUUCUUUUGGAAGUCCUAAAGAGACCUCCUGAACGGAAGGUACCAUUCUAAAAGAAUGACUAUAUAUUAGAAAAGGCUUGAUUUUGACGUGCUUGCUUAAAAUUCAAUAAGAAAAAUAUUAAGGGUAUUUUAGUAAUUUUGUAUCCAUUUACUAAUGACAACUUACGUGUCUUCUCGUUGUCACUUAUUCCGCUAUAUGUGUGCAUUCCUUAUCACUCCACCUGUAUUUUCUCUUCAUUACUUGUUUUCGUCCCUUUCUUCUCACUUUAGAGAAGUGCUUCCUCAAUAGUGCUCAACUCUCAAGCAUGUCCAAGGACAACAAAUGUCCGUGAAAGAAUUCCAAAAAAGGAGUCUUUGAGCACAAUUGAACAUGAAAUGGAAGAAGCAAUUGUAAAAUCUGAAACGUCACGCAAGAUGCUGAAAAUAGAACAGCAGACAACAUUAAGGAAUAUAUAAAAGGUUAGAAGAGAAACAAAUCAAAGAGUUUGGUGCUUCCAAGACAUUGUUCAAAAAACGGUACAAGAUUGUGAUCCAGAGACUGCUACCCGUCCUCAUAUCUAGCAUUGAGGUCAUUGCUGACAGAGUUUAAGGUACAGACGCUCGUUUUGGAGAUCCGCCAGCUUAGGAUACUUGUUCAGCUACUUUGAAGUGCUCCCUUAUUCCGGGGCCUAGCUUGUGGUAUAACUCCAUUUUGUCGUAUAUGUAUGUGUUUAUUCGGGGUACGGCGGGGCCCUGUCCCGUCAUAUGAUACUAUCACUACUCUUAGAGGUCUGUGGACAUCUGUGUGGGUCUAUGUAUAGUUGAUGUUGUGUUGUAUGGACAUGACUUAUGUUUGGGGCGUACCCAUUCGUGAUGGCAGCCUUGUCGGCUUGCAUAUGUAUGUAUGUUUGGAAUGUUGCGUGUAAUGGCAGCCUUGUCGGCUUGCGUAUAUAUAAAUAUAUGUUGUUGUUGAAAAUGGUAACUCCUCAGGAGACAGGUGCUUAUGACAUACAGAAUCGUGACAGCUUUAAAAUAACGCCCUGCCUUUUUAUACAAAUAAGUUCAUGACAUG